rnacentral:rRNA from 1 species
UGGGGAAUAUUGCACAAUGGGCGCAAGCCUGAUGCAGCCAUGCCGCGUGUGUGAAGAAGGCCUUCGGGUUGUAAAGCACUUUCAGCGGGGAGGAAGGCGGUGAGGUUAAUAACCUCAUCGAUUGACGUUACCCGCAGAAGAAGCACCGGCUAACUCCGUGCCAGCAGCCGCGGUAAUACGGAGGGUGCAAGCGUUAAUCGGAAUUACUGGGCGUAAAGCGCACGCAGGCGGUUGAUUGAGUCAGAUGUGAAAUCCCCGGGCUUAACCCGGGAAUUGCAUCUGAUACUGGUCAGCUAGAGUCUUGUAGAGGGGGGUAGAAUUCCAUGUGUAGCGGUGAAAUGCGUAGAGAUGUGGAGGAAUACCGGUGGCGAAGGCGACCCCCUGGACAAAGACUGACGCUCAGGUGCGAAAGCGUGGGGAGCAAACAGG